rnacentral:rRNA from 1 species
CCUACGGGGCGCAGCAGUGAGGAAUAUUGGUCAAUGGGCGGAAGCCUGAACCAGCCAAGUCGCGUGAGGGAAUAAGGCCCUACGGGUCGUAAACCUCUUUUGCCGGGGAGCAAGGGCCGGGACGAGUCCCGGUCCGGAGAGUACCCGGAGAAAAAGCAUCGGCUAACUCCGUGCCAGCAGCCGCGGUAAUACGUAGGUGGCAAGCGUUAUCCGGAUUUACUGGGUGUAAAGGGCGUGUAGGCGGGGAAGCAAGUCAGAUGUGAAAACCACGGGCUCCACCUGUGGC